AAAGCUCAUGUGUGAGACAAUGCAAGGAGGUUUAGAGGAGAAAUGAUUGGUUUUGAGAGUCUUAACCCAAUCCGAGAAUUAAUCCCUGAUGGGAUUAUCUGAGUGGUAACUGAAGGUGGGUAGGGUGUGGCUGGAGGAGGUGGGUCCCUGGGAGCCUGAAUUGGGGUAUAUUUUUUAUCUGGCAAGUCUCUCUUGUUGCUUUCUGAUCAUCAUAUGAGCUGCUUCCCUCUGCCACACUCUUCCACUAUGUUGUUUGGCCUCAUCUAGA
rnacentral:lncRNA from 1 species